rnacentral:rRNA from 1 species
CCAAUAGCGUAUAUUAAAGUUGUUGCAGUUAAAAAGCUCGUAGUUGAAUUUCGAGAUCAAAUUGUUGGUCGUGCCUCGGUACGUACUGGCAUUAUUGAUUUCUCCUUUCUGAAGAACCAUGAUGUCAUUAAUUUGGUGUCUUGGGGAAUCAGGACUGUUACUUUGAAAAAAUUAGAGUGUUUAAAGCAGGCUCACGCUUGAAUACAUUAGCAUGGAAUAAUGAAAUAGGACGUUUGAUUCUAUUUUGUUGGUUUCUAGGAUCGACGUAAUGAUUAAUAGGGAUAGGUGGGGGCAUUAGUAGUCAAUUGUCAGAGGUGAAAUUCUUGGAUUUAUUGAAGACUAACUACUGCGAAAGCAUUUGCCAAGGAUGUUUUCAUUAAUCAAGAACGAAAGUUAGGGGAUCGAAGACGAUCAGAUACCGGCGUAGUCUUAACCAUAAACUAUGCCGACUAGGGAUCGGAUGAUGUUAAUUUUUUAAUGACUCAUUCGGCGCCUUACG